UACGUAGGGGGCUAGCGUUGUCCGGAAUCAUUGGGCGUAAAGAGCGUGUAGGCGGCCCGGUAAGUCCGCUGUGAAAGUCGGGGGCUCAACCCUCGAAUGCCGGUGGAUACUGUCGGGCUAGAGUGCGGAAGAGGCGAGUGGAAUUCCUGGUGUAGCGGUGAAAUGCGCAGACUAUCAGGAGGAACACCGAUUGCGAAGGCAGCUCGCUGGGACGUAACUGACGCUGAGACGCGAAAGCGUGGGGAGCAAACAGG
rnacentral:rRNA from 1 species